UUGCUUCUCUUGAGAGCGGCGGACGGGUGAGUAAUGCCUAGGAAUCUGCCUAGUGGUGGGGGAUAACGUUCGGAAACGGACGCUAAUACCGCAUACGUCCUACGGGAGAAAGCGGGGGAUCUUCGGACCUCGCGCCAUUAGAUGAGCCUAGGUCGGAUUAGCUAGUUGGUGAGGUAAUGGCUCACCAAGGCGACGAUCCGUAACUGGUCUGAGAGGAUGAUCAGUCACACUGGAACUGAGACACGGUCCAGACUCCUACGGGAGGCAGCAGUGGGGAAUAUUGGACAAUGGGCGAAAGCCUGAUCCAGCCAUGCCGCGUGUGUGAAGAAGGUCUUCGGAUUGUAAAGCACUUUAAGUUGGGAGGAAGGGUAGUAACCUAAUACGUUGCUACUUUGACGUUACCGACAGAAUAAGCACCGGCUAACUUCGUGCCAGCAGCCGCGGUAAUACGAAGGGUGCAAGCGUUAAUCGGAAUUACUGGGCGUAGAGCGCGCGUAGGUGGUUCAGUAAGUUGGAAGUGAAAUCCCCGGGCUCAACCUGGGAACUGCUUUCAAAACUGCUGAGCUAGAGUACGGUAGAGGGUGGUGGAAUUUCCUGUGUAGCGGUGAAAUGCGUAGAUAUAGGAAGGAACACCAGUGGCGAAGGCGACCACCUGGACUGAUACUGACACUGAGGUGCGAAAGCGUGGGGAGCAAACAGGAUUAGAUACCCUGGUAGUCCACGCCGUAAACGAUGUCAACUAGCCGUUGGAAUCCUUGAGAUUUUAGUGGCGCAGCUAACGCAUUAAGUUGACCGCCUGG
rnacentral:rRNA from 1 species